rnacentral:rRNA from 1 species
ACCGAUGAAGGAGUUUUCGGACAACGGAAUCGGUUACUUAGUGGCGGACUGGUGAGUAACGCGUGAGGAACCUGCCUUUCAGUGGGGGACAACGGUUGGAAACGACUGCUAAUACCGCAUAAUGUAUUGUGGGGACAUCCCCGCAGUACCAAAGAUUUAUCGCUGAAAGAUGGCCUCGCGUCUGAUUAGCUUGUUGGUGGGGUAACGGCUCACCAAGGCGACGAUCAGUAGCCGGACUGAGAGGUUGACCGGCCACAUUGGGACUGAGAUACGGCCCAGACUCCUACGGGAGGCAGCAGUGGGGAAUAUUGGGCAAUGGACGCAAGUCUGACCCAGCAACGCCGCGUGAAGGAAGAAGGCUUUCGGGUUGUAAACUUCUUUUAAGGGGGAAGAGCGGAAGACGGUACCCCUUGAAUAAGCCACGGCUAACUACGUGCCAGCAGCCGCGGUAAUACGUAGGUGGCGAGCGUUGUCCGGAUUUACUGGGUGUAAAGGGCGUGCAGCCGGGUCUGCAAGUCAGAUGUGAAAUCCACGGGCUUAACCCGUGAACUGCAUUUGAAACUGCGGGUCUUGAGUAUCGGAGAGGUAAUCGGAAUUCCUGGUGUAGCGGUGAAAUGCGUAGAUAUCAGGAAGAACACCAGUGGCGAAGGCGGAUUACUGGACGACAACUGACGGUGAGGCGCGAAAGCGUGGGGAGCAAACAGGAUUAGAUACCCUGGUAGUCCACGCUGUAAACGAUC